GGUAAGUGCGGGUGGGAGGGGUGGAGAAUACGGAGGGGGGAAGGGGUGGCCGGCUUGAUUGGGCGUAAAGCGCGUGUAGGGGGCCAGGAAGGUGCGUGGUGAAAACUGGGGGCUCAACUUCCAGACGUCGAUGGAAACCGCCCGGCUAGAGUCCGGAAGAGGAGAGUGGAAUUCCUGGUGUAGCGGUGAAAUGCGCAGAUAUCAGGAAGAACACCAAUGGCGAAGGCAGCUCUCUGGGACGGUACUGACGCUGAGACGCGAAAGCGUGGGGAGCGAACAGGAUUAGAUACCCGGGUAGUC
rnacentral:rRNA from 1 species